UACGAAGGGUGCAAACGUUGCUCGGAAUUAUUGGGCGUAAAGCGCACGUAGGCGGCUUUGCAAGUCGGAUGUGAAAUCCCUCGGCUUAACCAAGGAAGUGCAUCCGAAACUGCAGAGCUUGAGUACUUAAGAGGAUCGCGGAAUUCCCGGUGUAGAGGUGAAAUUCGUAGAUAUCAGGAGGAACACCGGUGGCGAAGGCGGGAUCCUGGGCCAGUACUGACGCUGAGGAGCGAAAGCGUGGGGAGCAAACAGG
rnacentral:rRNA from 1 species